GGGGCAAGGGUCUUGAGGGUCCAGGAUUUAGUCUAGUGUAAGUUGGGAUACCUGGAUUAAAAAAAAAAAAUAUAUAUAUAUAUAUGGCAAAAACCUGCUAAACUGGAGCAAUGACACUCUACUAGUUACCCUAAACUAGAGCAAUGACACUCUACCUAGUUACCCUAUACGGUUAUUUCAGAAUUGCUCUCUUUCCCGAAUCGGGAAGAGAGCUUUUUCCCGAUUUUCAAUUUUUUAUUCAUUUUAUUGCCUUCUGCCUUUUUCAACUCCCCACCUCCUAACCCGGCCACCCCCUACCCAUUUACUAAUUUUUGUACAAUAUCUUAAGGGUACGAUUUAAAUGGUGUAAAAAAAAAUUUGUGCAAUACCCUUAAGAAAAAAAAGAAUUGAGCGAAUGGAAUGUCAUACAGUCGCCUAGAGCUGUUACUCUAUUCUCGCUCAAACCUUCAAGUCGCCCAAGAUCUUAACAAACAUAAAGCGUCGUGGUUAUUAAGAAGUGCAGUUAUCAAAGCAGUUAUUAAAGCAGCCCUAUCAUAUUCCACGAUUCAAGAAAUUCAAUCGAAAGCGGUUGAACGAUGAAGGGUAAUGACAGCAGUUAAAAAUGCAGUUUUCAUGACAAGAUGGCCUUUACGAAGAAAGUGGGUAGUUAUAGGACGAUCAAGCAGUUUUUAGAGCGGUUUAUCACAAAGAGAUCGUCCAUGAAGUAUAAAAGGGAGAAAGGACAUAGAAGCAAAGGACCGAAUCCAAAACUCUCGAAAAGAGAACAUGUAAUUUUCAUUUCCUUAGUUUUUAGAUUUAAACACUUUUGUUUCAGUAACUCGUGUGCUUGCGCCCCUUGGAGGCAUGUUGUUUUUCAUUUCCAAUUGUAAAGUCAUCGCCAAUAAAAGAACACCCCUUUUUGGGACUUUGUCUCAACAGGUUUUGUCCCUUACACAAUCGUCUGAUCUUUUUUAAUUGUUAGCGACUAACCCGCGCGAAACAGUUUGUAAAUUUAUUUAUCUUAAUUAUAAAUAGAUAAAUAUGAGUAGUGAAUAAGUAAGAAGUAUUUGUGAGUCUUUUAAAAUGUAUAGAUAAAUGUAAUUUGACUGUUUUUCAGUAGGUUACAAUAAUGAGGCAAACAUAGAUUAGUUGUGUACGUCUAAUUAGAUACCAAAUUUGGCAUAACUGCCAUCUUAGUUCUAUACAAAUUUAAGGUGGCAAAAACUUGCCAAACUAGAGCAAUGACACUCUACUAGUUAGCUCUUAUGGAUCUAUUUACCUAUAAUUUAAAAGAACUUUGACAAACAGGGGCUUAAUCGUACCAUAUAUAGGAAUUGUUUGAGUCCUUUUUUUUUCAAAAAAUGUAUUUUCAAAUAGUAUUAUGAUAGAAAAUGUGAGGUUAAAAUAUAAAGAAAAGUUUUGAAUUUACGUGUAAUAUUAUUUUAUUUAAAAAUGUAGUUGAAAUGAGGUCAAAUCACGUUGAAAAAUGAAUUUUGAUGAAAAAAAUAUGGCUCAAACAAGGGCAUAUAUAUAGAACUCAAUAAAAUUUGAUAAUUGACUUUAUUUAUCCUCCUAUUAUUAUUAUUAUUAUUAUUAUUAUUAUUUUGCCGUUUAUAAAUAUUUAUUAUUAUUAUUAUUAUUAUUAUUAUUACUGUGCCGUUUAUAAAUAUUUAGUACCUAUUAUUAUUAUUAUUAUUAUUAUUAUUAUUAUUAUUAUUAUUAUUAUUAUUAUUAUUAUAUUGUGGCGUUUAUGCACAUUUAGUACCUUUAAUUAUCAAAUUAAUCUAACCAUAUAUGGUUUUAUACAGCUCAACCAAAUUGCAUAAUUGACUUUAGUUAUCCUCCUUUUUUUUUCUUUUCCAAUUUUGUUUCAUCCAUGAACAUUCAGUACUCUUGGUUAUCAAAUUAAUGUUCCUACUUCCAAGCGGAGGCUGAGCUAAAUUAAAUGCCAUCCUCCUAAACCUAUAUUUCCUUCUAUCUUAUAGCAAAUACUCUACCUAAUUAUUGGGAUGAUAAAAAAUAUCGACAAUUUUAGCUUCUACACGCGUUAAGCCAACUUAUAUAGUGCACAUGAUGAGGAAACCGCAAUUAAAAAUAACUUAUAAGUUGCCGAUGUGUUAAUAAACUAUUCGUGCAAAAUUCGCAAACGUACGGGAUCGUUGACAAGUAAUAUGUGAUGAGUAGCGUAUAUCGCCCCACGAGAAAUAAAAUUUAAUAGAGUGUACUAGUAUUUAGUUAGAUUCAAAGUGAUCGAACAAAAUUGAUUUGUAGUUAUGACUAUUCUAAAUUAAUUUACUAAAAUGGGUAAAAUUCAAGUUUUGUUUGUGUGGAAUUAGUGUACUGAAUUACGAAUUCACAUAUUAUUAUAUAUUCUAAUUCUCAACUAUGUAGUUAGUUUCGUUCUUGCAUUCUUGAUAAUCAAUAAUUUUAUUGUUAUUAAUUUUUUUUCAAAACAAAUUAAAUCUAUUCUAGUCACGACUCGACUUUAUUCCUAGUCCGAAUUUAAAUAAAUAGAACGCAUUCAAUUUCAUAAUUAUCUCAAAGAUUGUACCCGUGAUAAAUCUUAUUCCUAAAAUUUAUUGCACAUGUGUUAAUCAAGCAAUGUUUUAGACCUAUUGUAAACCUCUCAGCACUACAACAAGUAACCAUACAUUCAAUUGGUGAUCAAGCAAUCAAAUAAUAAAAUUAGGCAUGCAAGAUCAAUCAAAAAUUGUAAAAAUUUAACUAAAUUACUUGUCCUGAAUUAAAAAUAAAUAAUAGAUGAUUUCAUCUUUAUUCAAUGCCUAAAAAGACUUAGUCUAAAAUAAUGUUAGAAUUAAACACAUAAAAGUGGAACGACAUUACCGCGAAUCGAUGGAACGUGAUUAAUUUCCUCGCAAUGGUUGAUAACUUAUCGAACAAAAAUCUGGAAAUAAUUAUUGUUGUUGUCCUUCAUUCCGUACGCGUCCCGUCUUUUAGCUUUUAAUUGUCUUGUGCUGUCUUUCUUUUCCGUGUAUGUGUCUCUUUCCUUUAAUUUUCAGCCGCCCUUUUCUCCCAAUUUUCAACCCACAUGCC
rnacentral:lncRNA from 1 species